CUAACAGGAGAGAGGAUGACACUGGAUGGUUUGGAAGCCGCUCAUGGAUCGAAUAGAACAAAGCAAUGCUUUAAGUUUUUGGUUGCUUUGGUGGGUGUGAUGGGACUGCUCAUUGUGGUUUUGGUAACUGCUUUAAUUUUCUUUUAUCUAAGGACAACACCAUCUUGCAACCAGGAAGCUCCACCAAAGAUAUGUCCAGCAAAAGUCAAAACGACUUAUAUAAUAAAAGAGAGUGAUUUCAAGACAAUCUAUGACAUAUUCUCAGCAGACAGAGGUGGAACCUAUUCAGUCUACGGAUGGGUGAAGUUCCUUGAGGUCACAGGUGAACCGUUCACUCUGAUUCAGAGGACAGAUGAUGACAUCAGAACAAUGGAGACAAAGAGUGUGGACCAUACAAACAUCUUCUUCCACAAAGUCUUUAAGCUUACCAAAAACACAAAGUUGAGUCUUGACUUCAGUCCCAGCAAAACCAUAGAUUUUAAAGAGAGCUGUUUUUAUGUUUGUUACAUGUGAUCAGGAUGAUUUCAAAGUUUCUACAUGACUUGUAAAUCUAUGACGGUGUAGAGAUUAUGCAAUUUCCACAUGUUCAUACCCAUGGAGAGAUUUGUCCUGAAAACGUAGUUGCAGCUUGACAAAAUGUGUUGAUGACAGGUAAAAAUAGACGUCAACUCAUAAUGUGCUCUGCUUUCUUGUCAGCUACCACUGGAAUAGCAAAGUGCGCACCACAAAAAGUGUUAAUCUCACUUUCGCAUUAAAAAAGAGAAUCUCUGACAGUCAUCUUCAUCUCUCAAAAUGAAUACCUUUACCUGUGAAUUGACCUGUACAGCACAGUUCAAUGAAAGUUAUAAAAGACUGUAAAAUCAACUGAAACUGCAGAUAUAAAGUGUAAAAUUUUAAUGCAGUCCUUUGUUUUUUCUUUAUGUACAUUCUUCUUUCAGUUAUGACAGUUUCUUUUAUGUAAUUAAAUUGAGUUCACAAAACUAGGGAAUUAAUCCAAUGUAAUGC